AGGAUCUUUGGACACAAACAGCUGGGCGGGGACUCACUCACGAAGGUGCCAUAAAACUGGUCCUUCGCCGCCUCCUGUCAUGGUAUCCUACGGCAGGCUUCUCUUUGAGGGCUCUAAUGACGAUAACUCCAAGCUCCGUCCCUGCAACACACCUACCUAACCUCCCAGACGGUCCCCGCAACGCACCUCACACAGGAAGAUCCGAAGAUAUUCCGGUAUAACAACAGAUUCAGUGUAAGAACAUAAAAACACAAGGGAAGCUGUAGGAAGCCGUCAGACCUACACGCGGCGCCCCUGCAGGAAACACACCUACGUAUUCUCACCUAUGAAAUAAAUAAAUAAACAAAAAAAUCUGCAUCAAAUAGGACGAAAAAGGAACUGAGAGAACAAAUAAAUAGAUAAAUAAAUAAAAUAAAUGAAAA